CUUCCUCACAUUACCCUGGCCUCUGCUUCUAUCGUCACAUCUUCUCUAAAUUUGACACUUCUGCCUCUCUCAUAGGGACCUUUGAGAUUACAGUGGGCCCACUCAGAAAAUACAGCUCCUCUCCUCAUAUCAAUAUUCUUGACUUAAUCACGUGUGCAAGUCCCUUUUACAAUGUAAGACAUUAUAAUUAACAAACACCAACUGCUGAUUUCUCCAGACACAUAAGGGAAAGGAAUGAUACCAUGAAGAAAGAGCUAUGGGUUUAGAAUCAAUGAACUGCAAUGGGG
rnacentral:lncRNA from 1 species